CCUACGGGAGGCAGCAGUGGGGAAUAUUGCACAAUGGGCGCAAGCCUGAUGCAGCCAUGCCGCGUGUAUGAAGAAGGCCUUCGGGUUGUAAAGUACUUUCAGCAGUGAGGAAGGUGGGUAUGUUAAUAGCAUACUCAUUUGACGUUAGCUGCAGAAGAAGCACCGGCUAACUCCGUGCCAGCAGCCGCGGUAAUACGGAGGGUGCGAGCGUUAAUCGGAAUUACUGGGCGUAAAAGCGCAUGCAGGUGGUUUGUUAAGUCAGAUGUGAAAGCCCGGGGCUCAAACCUCGGAAUUGCAUUUGAAACUGGCAAACUAGAGUACUGUAGAGGGGGUAGAAUUUCAGGUGUAGCGGUGAAAUGCGUAGAGAUCUGAAGGAAUACCGGUGGCGAAGGCGGCCCCCUGGACAGAUACUGACACUCAGAUGCGAAAGCGUGGGGAGCAAACAGGAUUAGAUACCCUGGUAG
rnacentral:rRNA from 1 species